AGAGUUUGAUCCUGGCUCAGAUUGAACGCUGGCGGCAGGCCUAACACAUGCAAGUCGAGCGGGGUUUUCGGACCUAGCGGCGGACGGGUGAGUAAUGCGUAGGAAGCUGCCCGAUAGAGGGGGAUACCAGUUGGAAACGACUGUUAAUACCGCAUAAUGUCUACGGACCAAAGUGUGGGACCUUCGGGCCACAUGCUAUCGGAUGCGCCUACGUGGGAUUAGCUAGUUGGUGAGGUAAUGGCUCACCAAGGCGACGAUCUCUAGCUGGUUUGAGAGGAUGAUCAGCCACACUGGAACUGAGACACGGUCCAGACUCCUACGGGAGGCAGCAGUGGGGAAUAUUGGACAAUGGGCGCAAGCCUGAUCCAGCCAUGCCGCGUGUGUGAAGAAGGCCUUCGGGUUGUAAAGCACUUUCAGCGAGGAGGAAGGGUGGUGUGUUAAUAGCACAUCAUUUUGACGUUACUCGCAGAAGAAGCACCGGCUAACUCUGUGCCAGCAGCCGCGGUAA
rnacentral:rRNA from 1 species